UACAGGGGGGGCAAGCGUUGUUCGGAAUUACUGGGCGUAAAGGGUUUGUAGGUGGCCCGCUAAGUCACACGUGAAAUCCCUCAGCUUAACUGGGGAACUGCGUGUGAGACUGGCAGGCUCGAGGGCAGGAGAGGAACGCGGAAUUCCAGGUGUAGCGGUGAAAUGCGUAGAGAUCAUGAGGAAGACCAGUGGCGAAGGCGGGUCUCUGGACAGUUCCUGACACUGAGGCACGAAGGCCAGGGGAGCAAACGGG
rnacentral:rRNA from 1 species